rnacentral:rRNA from 1 species
AUACGGAGGACACGAGCGUUAUCCGGAUUCAUUGGGUUUAAAGGGUGCGCAGGCGGCCGUGCAAGUCAGCGGUGAAAGCCCGGGGCUCAACCCCGGAAGUGCCGUUGAUACUGCAUGGCUGGAAUGCGGUCGAGGCGGGCGGGACGGGGCGGGUAGCGGUGAAAAGCGUAGAUAUGCCACAGAACGCCGAUAGCGGAGGCAGCUCGCCAGGCCUGCAUUGACGCUCGGGCACGAAAGCGUGGGGAUCGAACAGGAUUAGAUACCCUGGUAGCCCACGCCGUAAACGAUGGGCGCUCGUCGUCGGCGGCAGACAGUCGGCGGCCAAGCGAAAGCGAUAAGCGCCCCACCUGGGGAGUACGGUCGCAAGGCUGAAACUCAAAUGAAUUGACGGGG